rnacentral:rRNA from 1 species
GACAGAGGUGCCGAGCGUUAGGCGGAAUCACUGGGCUUAAAGCGUGCGCAGGCGGUUGUGCAAGACAGAUGUGAAAUCCCCGGGCUCAACCUGGGAAUUGCAUUUGUGACUGCACGGCUAGAGUGUGUCAGAGGGGGGUAGAAUUCCACGUGUAGCAGUGAAAUGCGUAGAGAUGUGGAGGAAUACCGAUGGCGAAGGCAGCCCCCUGGGAUAACACUGACGCUCAUGCACGAAAGCGUGGGGAGCAAACAGG